rnacentral:rRNA from 1 species
GAGGCAGCAGUNGGGGAAUUUUGGGCUAUGGGCGAAAGCCUGACCCAGCCAACGCCGCGUGAGGGAUGAAGUAUUUCGGUAUGUAAACCUCGAAAGAAUAGGAAGAAUAAAUGACGGUACUAUUUAUAAGCUCCCGGCUAACUACGUGCCAGCAGCCGCCGGUAAUACGUAGGGAGCAAGCGUUGUUCGGAUUUACUGGGCGUAAAGGGCGCGUAGGCGGCUAUAUUAAGUCAGCUGUGAAAUCUCCGAGCUUAACUCGGAACUGUCAGCUGAUACUGACGUGCUAGAGUGCAGAAGGGGCAAUCGGAAUUCUUGGUGUAGCGGUGAAAUGCGUAGAUAUCAAGAGGAACACCUGAGGUGAAGACGGGUUGCUGGGCUGACACUGACGCUGAGGCGCGAAAGCCAGGGGAGCACCACCGGGAUUAGAUACCCCGGUAGUCCUGGCCCCUAAACGAUGGAAUACUUGGUGUCUGGAGUUUCAAUACUCCGGGUGCCAGUCGCUAACGUUUUAAGUAUUCCGCCUGGGGAUGUACGCACGCAAGUGUCCAAACUCGAAAGGAAUUAG